GUCUUCGGCAACGUGCUGGUGUGCAUGGCUGUGUCCCGCGAGAAGGCGCUGCAGACCACCACCAACUACCUGAUCGUCAGCCUCGCAGUGGCCGACCUCCUCGUCGCCACACUGGUCAUGCCCUGGGUUGUCUACCUGGAGGUGGUAGGUGAGUGGAAAUUCAGCAGGAUUCACUGUGACAUCUUCGUCACUCUGGACGUCAUGAUGUGCACGGCGAGCAUCCUGAACUUGUGUGCCAUCAGCAUCGACAGACCAGAACGAGUGCAUCAUUGCCAACCCGGCCUUCGUGGUCUACUCCUCCAUCGUCUCCUUCUACGUGCCCUUCAUUGUCACCCUGCUGGUCUACAUCAAGAUCUACAUUGUCCUCCGCAGACGCCGCAAGCGAGUCAACACCAAACGCAGCAGCCGAGCUUUCAGGGCCCACCUGAGGGCUCCACUAAAGGGCAACUGUACUCACCCCGAGGACAUGAAACUCUGCACCGUUAUCAUGAAGUCUAAUGGGAGUUUCCCAGUGAACAGGCGGAGAGUG
rnacentral:ncRNA from 2 species